ACGAACGCUGGCGGCGUGCCUAAUACAUGCAAGUUGAGCGAUGAAGAUUGGUGCUUGCACCAAUUUGAAGAGCAGCGAACGGGUGAGUAACGCGUGGGGAAUCUGCCUUUGAGCGGGGGACAACAUUUGGAAACGAAUGCUAAUACCGCAUAAUAACUUUAAACAUAAGUUUUAAGUUUGAAAGAUGCAAUUGCAUCACUCAAAGAUGAUCCCGCGUUGUAUUAGCUAGUUGGUGAGGUAAAGGCUCACCAAGGCGAUGAUACAUAGCCGACCUGAGAGGGUGAUCGGCCACAUUGGGACUGAGACACGGCCCAAACUCCUACGGGAGGCAGCAGUAGGGAAUCUUCGGCAAUGGACGAAAGUCUGACCGAGCAACGCCGCGUGAGUGAAGAAGGUUUUCGGAUCGUAAAACUCUGUUGGUAGAGAAGAACGCUGGUGAGAGUGGAAAGCUCAUCAAGUGACGGUAACUACCCAGAAAGGGACGGCUAACUACGUG
rnacentral:rRNA from 1 species